AGUGAACGCUGGCGGCAGGCCUAACACAUGCAAGUCGAGCGGCAGCGCGGGGGCAACCCUGGCGGCGAGCGGCGGACGGGUGAGGAAUUCGUCGGAAUCUGCCUUUUUGUGGGGGAUAACGUAGGGAAACUUACGCUAAUACCGCAUACGUCCUACGGGAGAAAGUGGGGGACCGCAAGGCCUCACGCAGAAAGAUGAGCCGACGACCGAUUAGCUAGUUGGUGGGGUAAAGGCCCACCAAGGCGACGAUCGGUAGCUGGUCUGAGAGGAUGAUCAGCCACACUGGGACUGGGACACGGCCCAGACUCCUACGGGAGGCAGCAGUGGGGAAUAUUGGACAAUGGGCGCAAGCCUGAUCCAGCCAUGCCGCGUGUGUGAAGAAGGCCUUCGGGUUGUAAAGCACUUUUGUCCGGAAAGAAAUCCCUGGAGCUAAUACCUUCGGGGGAUGACGGUACCGGAAGAAUAAGCACCGGCUAACUUCGUG
rnacentral:rRNA from 1 species